UCCUCCAGGCUAUGCUGGCUGAGCACUUUGAAGCUUCCUAUGGCUGAUAAUGGCUAAAUGGUGAAUUACAUGUCUGGCAGGACUGAGAGAGCACUGGGGCUCCUGUCUCACCUGCUGCUCUCAGCAGUGGGGCGGUUUGUCCGUUUGUGUGAUUUCGUGGUUUGCUUGUAGCUAGAGGUUUAGUUACAGAAUAAUAUCAUAUGUUAGGGUGUGAGAGUAUGUUUGUGUGUAUGUGUGUGUGUGUGUACUCUGUCCUUCAGACUGUGACAGGUUUGUGAAACCCAUUGACUAGCAGAGGAGCUUCAGCUCACCACAGUACCCUGAGUACAGAGGAGAGACUGAGUCUCAGAGCACUGCAGGGUGAUCAGAGCUUUUCACUGCUUACCUGCAUCAUGGACCAGCACUGCAUGCUUACUGAUGUUACACAUUACAGAAAGAAAACAGCUCAAAUUCAUCUUCAUUAACUUAACAUAAUUAUCCAUUUUAAUAUUAUCAGUUUUUAAUGAAGAUUCUUUUCAUUUUAAGGGUGGAAAAUUUCUUUAUUAAAACUGUGUACUGCACUGAAUUCUCAGGCCUUCCAUCAGGGCCUCUGGCUCCAGGCACCAACUUCCCAGGGACAAGAAGAAGUUAGAGUGUGUGUCUGUGUCCGUCUGUCUGUCUGUAUGUCUGAUUGUCCGGCCAUUCGUCUGUGUUGGUGCCAUUAUUUAUUCUUUGUUUGUUUUAUUUUAUCCUUAACUAAAAACACUAUGUGACUGCAAUGUAUACACAUGCAGUUCUGAUAUUGAACACAGGGUGGAGCACUAAUGCAGGAAGUGCAUUUAACCAAGCUUCUGGUGGUGAGAAUCAGGUGUGUGGAACGGGAAGCAAACAGUUUUUGACCGUGUCUUUGUGGCAGUUGUUAGCUUCGCUGGCGUGCUUGUAUGUGAAUUUGCUGAAUGGAAACAGCAGCGCUGCUAUCUACCUGUGUUAUGCUCACAGCCACUCUUCAACAGCACGGUGGACCAUAAUCCAGCAGGAUAGUGAGUAUUUCUUUUCUUUACCCCAUCCUUAGCAUGCGCUGUGACACUGUAACUCCACACAGGAACGUUUGGGGCCUCUGGUUUCCUGACCACGGGACUGAUCCUCCGUUGAGUCACGCUCACCAUUAACCUCUCCUGCUCACCCACGGCAUAAUGAAGAGCCUGUCCCCUUCCUCCGGUGACUCUGCAGUAAAGCCUAGCUGACUGAUCAGUCAGGCACCAGCUUGGGGUAGGAACACCCCCUUUUAG